rnacentral:rRNA from 1 species
GGAAUAUUGCGCAAUGGGGGAAACCCUGACGCAGCAACGCCGCGUGGAGGAUGACACUUUUCGGAGCGUAAACUCCUUUUCUUAGGGAAGAAUUCUGACGGUACCUAAGGAAUAAGCACCGGCUAACUCCGUGCCAGCAGCCGCGGUAAUACGGAGGGUGCAAGCGUUACUCGGAAUCACUGGGCGUAAAGGGCGCGUAGGCGGAUUAUCAAGUCUCUUGUGAAAUCUAAUGGCUUAACCAUUAAACUGCUUGGGAAACUGAUAGUCUAGAGUGAGGGAGAGGCAGAUGGAAUUGGUGGUGUAGGGGUAAAAUCCGUAGAUAUCACCAAGAAUACCCAUUGCGAAGGCGAUCUGCUGGAACUCAACUGACGCUAAGGCGCGAAAGCGUGGGGAGCAAAC